CCUGUCCUACGGGGCGCAGCAGUAGGGAAUUUUCGUCAAUGGGCGCAAGCCUGAACGAGCAAUGCCGCGUGAACGAGGAAGGUCUUCGGAUCGUAAAGUUCUGUUGAAGGGGAAAAAGAGCGGAGAGAGGAAAUGGUCUCCGAUUGAUAUUACCCUUCGAGGAAGUCACGGCUAACUACGUGCCAGCAGCCGCGGUAAUACGUAGGUGACGAGCGUUAUCCGGAAUGAUUGGGCGGAAAGGGUGCGUAGGCGGACUGCUAAGUCUGGAGUGAAAGGUACCGGCUCAAACGG
rnacentral:rRNA from 1 species